AGAAACGUGCGGCGAUCGGGCGUUGGGCGCGGCGUGGGUGUUGUUGCAGCGCUGAGGCAGAUGCGGCGCUCCUUAUUGCUUAGGGUUUUUCUGUUUAAUUUUGCAGUGUUGGGCUAGGAACUGUUUUGGGCCGAUUGGGCCUUAUUACAGCUAGUAUCAGUUUUUUCUUUUUUUCUUUCUCUUAUUUUGUGUGUUUAAUAGUCAUUAGUUAAGAGAUAAAACAAUAAAGGAGGGAAAACGUACCUGGCGAUAGGAUUACGGCCUUCUCCAUCGUCAUCAGAGAGCAGGUUGGAAUCGGAGACUAUUCGCAUGCC
rnacentral:lncRNA from 1 species